rnacentral:rRNA from 1 species
UACGUAGGGUGCGAGCGUUGUCCGGAAUUAUUGGGCGUAAAGGGCUCGUAGGCGGUUUGUCGCGUCGGGAGUGAAAUCCAUUGGCUUAACUGGUGGCUUGCUUUCGAUACGGGCAGACUGGAGGUAUGCAGGGGAGAACGGAAUUCCUGGUGUAGCGGUGAAAUGCGUAGAUAUCAGGAGGAACACCGGUGGUGUAAACGGCUUUCUGGACCGUAACUGACGCUGAUGCACGAAAGCGUGGGUAGCAAACAGG